rnacentral:misc_RNA from 1 species
AACGCAUAUUGCGCCCUUUGGUAUUCCGAAGGGCAUGCCUGUUCGAGCGUCAUUAUCACCGUAUCAAGCUUGGCUUGUGGUUGGGCCCUGUUGUCACUGGGUGACAGGUCCAAAAGACAAUGGCCGGUGUUGUCCUGACUCCCUAUGCAACGAGCUGAUCCCAGCACGCAUGUGGUGGUUGGAUGGCCCGGUUCUUGCCCCUUUAUUUCUCCAGGUUGACCUCGGAUCAGGUAGGAAUACCCGCUGAACUUAA